GACGAACGCUGGCGGCGUGCCUAAUACAUGCGAGUCGAACGAACUCUGGUAUUGAUUGGUGCUUGCAUCAUGAUUUACAUUUGAGUGAGUGGCGAACUGGUGAGUAACACGUGGGAAACCUGCCCAGAAGCGGGGGAUAACACCUGGAAACAGAUGCUAAUACCGCAUAACAACUUGGACCGCAUGGUCUGAGUUUGAAAGAUGGCUUCGGCUAUCACUUUUGGAUGGUCCCGCGGCGUAUUAGCUAGAUGGUGGGGUAACGGCUCACCAUGGCAAUGAUACGUAGCCGACCUGAGAGGGUAAUCGGCCACAUUGGGACUGAGACACGGCCCAAACUCCUACGGGAGGCAGCAGUAGGGAAUCUUCCACAAUGGACGAAAGUCUGAUGGAGCAACGCCGCGUGAGUGAAGAAGGGUUUCGGCUCGUAAAACUCUGUUGUUAAAGAAGAACAUAUCUGAGAGUAACUGUUCAGGUAUUGACGGUAUUUAACCAGAAAGCCACGGCUAACUACGUGCCAGCAGCCGCGGUAAUACGUAGGUGGCAAGCGUUGUCCGGAUUUAUUGGGCGUAAAGCGAGCGCAGGCGGUUUUUUAAGUCUGAUGUGAAAGCCUUCGGCUCAACCGAAGAAGUGCAUCGGAAACUGGGAAACUUGAGUGCAGAAGAGGACAGUGGAACUCCAUGUGUAGCGGUGAAAUGCGUAGAUAUAUGGAAGAACACCAGUGGCGAAGGCGGCUGUCUGGUCUGUAACUGACGCUGAGGCUCGAAAGUAUGGGUAGCAAACAGGAUUAGAUACCCUGGUAGUCCAUACCGUAAACGAUGAAUGCUAAGUGUUGGAGGGUUUCCGCCCUUCAGUGCUGCAGCUAACGCAUUAAGCAUUCCGCCUGGGGAGUACGGCCGCAAGGCUGAAACUCAAAGGAAUUGACGGGGGCCCGCACAAGCGGUGGAGCAUGUGGUUUAAUUCGAAGCUACGCGAAGAACCUUACCAGGUCUUGACAUACUAUGCAAAUCUAAGAGAUUAGACGUUCCCUUCGGGGACAUGGAUACAGGUGGUGCAUGGUUGUCGUCAGCUCGUGUCGUGAGAUGUUGGGUUAAGUCCCGCAACGAGCGCAACCCUUAUUAUCAGUUGCCAGCAUUAAGUUGGGCACUCUGGUGAGACUGCCGGUGACAAACCGGAGGAAGGUGGGGUUGACGUCAAAUCAUCAUGCCCCUUAUGACCUGGGCUACACACGUGCUACAAUGGAUGGUACAACGAGUUGCGAACUCGCGAGAGUAAGCUAAUCUCUUAAAGCCAUUCUCAGUUCGGAUUGUAGGCUGCAACUCGCCUACAUGAAGUCGGAAUCGCUAGUAAUCGCGGAUCAGCAUGCCGCGGUGAAUACGUUCCCGGGCCUUGUACACACCGCCCGUCACACCAUGAGAGUUUGUAACACCCAAAGUCGGUGGGGUAGCCUUUUAGGAACCAGCCGCCUAAGGUGGGACAGAUGAUUAGGGUG
rnacentral:rRNA from 2 species